AGAGUUUGAUCCUGGCUCAGAUUGAACGCUGGCGGCAUGCCUUACACAUGCAAGUCGAACGGCAGCACGGGAGCAAUCCUGGUGGCGAGUGGCGAACGGGUGAGUAAUAUAUCGGAACGUACCUUUCAGUGGGGGAUAACGUAGCGAAAGUUACGCUAAUACCGCAUAUUCUGUGAGCAGGAAAGCAGGGGAUCUUCGGACCUUGCGCUGAUUGAGCGGCCGAUAUCAGAUUAGCUAGUUGGUGAGGUAAAGGCUCACCAAGGCGACGAUCUGUAGCGGGUCUGAGAGGAUGAUCCGCCACACUGGAACUGAGACACGGUCCAGACUCCUACGGGAGGCAGCAGUGGGGAAUUUUGGACAAUGGGGGCAACCCUGAUCCAGCCAUGCCGCGUGAGUGAAGAAGGCCUUCGGGUUGUAAAGCUCUUUCAGCCGGGAAGAAAACGCAUGGGUUAAUACCCUGUGUGGAUGACGGUACCGGAAUAAGAAGCACCGGCUAACUACGUGCCAGCAGCCGCGGUAAUACGUAGGGUGCGAGCGUUAAUCGGAAUUACUGGGCGUAAAGCGUGCGCAGGCGGUUUUGUAAGACAGGCGUGAAAUCCCGGGCUCAACCUGGGAACUGCGUUUGUGACUGCAAGGCUAGAGUAUGGCAGAGGGGGGUGGAAUUCCACGUGUAGCAGUGAAAUGCGUAGAGAUGUGGAGGAACACCGAUGGCGAAGGCAGCCCCCUGGGCCAAUACUGACGCUCAUGCACGAAAGCGUGGGUAGCAAACAGGAUUAGAUACCCUGGUAGUCCACGCCCUAAACGAUGUCAACUAGGUGUUGGGUGGGUAAAACCAUUUAGUACCGGAGCUAACGCGUGAAGUUGACCGCCUGGGGAGUACGGCCGCAAGGUUAAAACUCAAAGGAAUUGACGG
rnacentral:rRNA from 1 species